rnacentral:rRNA from 1 species
UUACGGUUAUAUCACGUUGAAACACCGGUUCCCGUACGAUCACCGAGGUUAAGCAACGUUGAUCCUGGUCAGUACUUAGAUGGGUGGUCGCUUGGGAAUA